ensembl:miRNA gmo-mir-222-1 gmo-mir-222-1
UGCUCAGUACUCAGUGUAGAUCCUGUGGGGCAGGCAGCAGCUACAUCUGGCUACUGGGUCU